CGCUGCGGUCGCAACACGGACCGGCUAAAAAUUUCGUGCAGUUUGUCAACAGAAUAGAUAGUAAUAUCAUUAUUAUUAGCCAUGGGCCUACAGACUCAGCAAAUUGAUGUGAAAGACCAAAAACUAUUCGAGUACGUUUUAACAUGGUAUCUGAGAAACCUCCAAAAGAACCCUAUAUUGACCAAGUCAAUUACAAGUGGUGUGGUCGCAGGCCUGGGCGAAUGCCAUAUGGGCAGUACAUCAUAAUGAAGAGUAAAUCCAGCAGCGACAGCGCUACGCCGGGACCAGUGGCUGCGAAAGAGUUCAAACUACGAGUGCUCUCAUCAGCGCCCCGCUCACGCACAACUACUACAUGCUGCUAGACGCGCGCGUGCCCGUCACGUCGUCGAACGCGGCGCUGAAACGACUGCUCAUCGAUCGUGGAAUCUUCGCUCCCAUCCUCAUCUUCAUCUACUUUUAUGUGAUGCAGCGGGUAGAGGGAGGCUCGCACGAAGACGCUGUGAAGAAGAUCAAGCAGAGUUUCUGGCCGGCCGUGCUCAUGAACUGGAAGUUUUGGACCAUCAUUCAGUACGUCAACCUGAAC